ACCUCUGCAAUAGGCGAAAGCUUGACAGGGUUACUCUGAGUGAUUUCCGCUAAGGGAAUCUUUUGGCACCUCUAAAAAUGGUGCAGAAUAAGGGGUGGGCAAGUCUGGUGUCAGCCGCCGCGGUAAUACCAGCACCCCGAGUGGUCGGGACGAUUAUUGGGCCUAAAGCAUCCGUAGCCGGUCCUGCAAGUCUUCCGUUAAAUCCAGCUGCUCAACAGAUGGGCUGCGGGAGAUACUACAGGGCUAGGAGGCGGGAGAGGCAAGCGGUACUUUAUGGGUAGGGGUAAAAUCCGCUGAUCCAUAGAAGACCACCAGUGGCGAAGGCGGCUUGCCAGAACGCGCUCGACGGUGAGGGAUGAAAGCUGGGGGAGCAAACCGGAUUAGAUACCCGGGUAGUCCCAGCUGUAAACGAUGCAGACUCGGUGAUGGGUUGGCCUCGCGCCUGCCCAGUGCCGCAGGGAAGCCGUUAAGUCUGCCGCCUGGGGAGUACGGUCGCAAGACUGAAACUUAA
rnacentral:rRNA from 1 species